rnacentral:rRNA from 1 species
UAGACCGAUAGCGAACAAGUAGAGUGAUCGAAAGAUGAAAAGCACCUUGAAAAGGGGGUUAAAUAGUACGUGAAAUUGUUGAAAGGGAAGCACUUAUGACCAGACUUGGGCCGGGCGGCUCAUCAGGGGUUCUCCCCUGUGCACUCCGCCCGGCACAGGCCAGCAUCGGUUUUCGCGGGGGGAUAAGACCGGCGGGAACGUAGCACCCUCCGGGGUGUGUUAUAGCCCGUCGGACGAUACCCUCGCGGGGACCGAGGUCCGCGCUCCGCAAGGAUGCUGGCGUAAUGGUCAUCAGUGACCCGUCUUGAAACACGGACCAAGA